ensembl:lncRNA
UUUUUUUUGUCAUGCAAAUGGAAUGUUGCCUACAGCUGGGAAAAACCCAACUUUCGGGAUAUUCUGGAAAAGUUUUUCAGACUUCUACAACUUUUAAAAGUAAUUGGAAAGGAAAGACAUGCUGGGAAGAUGAGAAGGAAAGUUGUCUAUAUCAGAGGCCAGCUGAAAUGCAUGAAGCACUGCCUGGGGAUGGAAGAUGAGCUAGCUGAGAACUUAAUGGAAGCAGGUCUGGAAAUAAAAGUGAAGGAACUGAACAGAAAAAAAUGGUGAUUGGAUUUAAUGGACUUUGCAUUUGUAAGAGACUAUUCUUUUAUAUGAUUGACUCAAAGUUUGCUGAGGAACAAGUCCAGGCAAGUCCUGGGCAAAGGUAGAGAAAUCUUUUGUCUUGAGGACACUGAUGGACAGGUUCUGGCUAAGGAUUGUGAAAUCCUCUAAGGAUCACAGAUGGACAAGGCCAGGGGCAACGAGAGAGAGAUAAGCUGCUGCUAAUGGCCGGGAAAUGGUCUUUUUGUGUGGACUUAUCUCGGGGAAGAUGGCCAUCUCAGGAGGUAUGCACCCAGGGAUGUCAUGUAGGCAGGAGAAAAUGGAGGAUAAAAGAGGGUUCAACAACCACGGCAAUGUAGAGGCUUAUCUCUCACCACGACAGACUUGAGGGGUUCUCUGCCAUCUGGUCCUUCACCACAACAGUGGAGGCUGAUCUCUCACCGCAACACAGAGGCUGAUCUCUCAUGAUCUCUCACCACGACACGAGCUUUUUGCCUUCAGAUCCUUCUCUACGGACCGUUUGCUGAUGGACUUCCCUGGGCAUGCUACCUGAGACCUGCUGCUUCCUCCCUGACCUGCACCCUCUCGUUGCCCAAGACCGGCCUCGCUGCUCCUGCCCUUUGGCCUCGGACCGUCGGAACGUCGUGCAACGGGACUGCUGCCGGAUCCUGGUGGUGACUAUCCCCGCUUUACUCAAUUCUUGCCUCUUUCUAUCUUUUCUAUCUCUUGCCUUCCCUUCCCCAUCACCCCAAUCCUUAAUAGUGUCCGUCCUCCCCUUUCUUAAUCUCCCUUAUUAACAUUUGUAAUAAACUGGUCG